ACUCAAAGGAAUUGACGGGGGCCCGCACAAGCGGAGGAACAUGUGGUUUAAUUCGAUGAUACGCGAGGAACCUUACCUGGGCUUAAAUGGGGAGUGACGUUAUCAGAGAUGGUAAUUUCUUCGGACACUCUUCAAGGUGCUGCAUGGUUGUCGUCAGCUCGUGCCGUGAGGUGUCGGGUUAAGUCCCAUAACGAGCGCAACCCUUACUGUUAGUUGCCAUCGGGUAAAGCCGGGGACUCUAGCGGGACUGCCACCGUAAGGUGAGAGGAAGGUGGGGAUGACGUCAAAUCAGCACGGCCCUUAUGUCCAGGGCUACACACGUGUUACAAUGGCCGGUACAGAGGGCAGCUACACUGCGAAGUGAUGCGAAUCCCGAAAGCCGGUCUCAGUUCGGAUCGAAGUCUGCAACCCGACUUCGUGAAGUUGGAUUCGCUAGUAAUCGCGCAUCAGCCAUGGCGCGGUGAAUACGUUCCCGGGCCUUGUACACACCGCCCGU
rnacentral:rRNA from 1 species